rnacentral:rRNA from 1 species
AGAGUUUGAUUAUGGCUCAGACGAACGCUGGCGGCAGGUCUUAGGCAUGCAAGUCGAACGGUGUAGCAAUACAUCAGUGGCGCACGAGUGAGUAACGCGUGGGAAGCUACCCAUCGACUGGGGAAUAACGUUUGGAAACGAACGCUAAUACCGCAUACGCCCGAAAGGGGAAAGAUUUUAUCGGUGAUGGAUGUGCCCGCGUUGGAUUAGCUUGUUGGUGGGGUAACGCCUACCAAGGCGAUGAUCCAUAGCUGGUCUGAGAGGACGAUCAGCCACGCUGGGACUGAGACACGGCCCAGACUCCUACGGGAGGCAGCAGCUAAGAAUAUUGGACAAUGGGGGAAACCCUGAUCCAGCCAAUGCCGCGUGAAUGAAGAAGGCCUUCGGGUUGUAAAGUUCUUUUAGUAGUGAAGAUGAUGACAGUAGCUACAGAAAAAGCACCGGCUAACUUCGUGCCAGCAGCAGC